rnacentral:rRNA from 1 species
AUUGAACGCUGGCGGCAUGCCUUACACAUGCAAGUCGAACGGCAGCACGGGAGCAAUCCUGGUGGCGAGUGGCGAACGGGUGAGUAAUAUAUCGGAACGUGCCCAGUCGUGGGGGAUAACGCAGCGAAAGCUGUGCUAAUACCGCAUACGAUCUAAGGAUGAAAGCGGGGGAUCGCAAGACCUCGCGCGAUUGGAGCGGCCGAUAUCAGAUUAGCUAGUUGGUGGGGUAAAGGCCCACCAAGGCGACGAUCUGUAGCUGGUCUGAGAGGACGACCAGCCACACUGGAACUGAGACACGGUCCAGACUCCUACGGGAGGCAGCAGUGGGGAAUUUUGGACAAUGGGCGAAAGCCUGAUCCAGCCAUUCCGCGUGCAGGAUGAAGGCCCUCGGGUUGUAAACUGCUUUUGUACAGAACGAAAAGGUUUCUACUAAUACUAGGAGCUCAUGACGGUACUGUAAGAAUAAGCACCGGCUAACUACGUGCCAGCAGCCGCGGUAACAC